rnacentral:rRNA from 1 species
AACUUAAGCAUAUCAAUAAGCGGAGGAAAAGAAACCAACAGGGAUUGCCCUAGUAACGGCGAGUGAAGCGGCAACAGCUCAAAUUUGAAAUCUGGCGCAAGCCCGAGUUGUAAUUUGUAGAGGAUGCUUCUAGGUUGCGGCCGGUCUAAGUUCCUUGGAACAGGACGUCACAGAGGGUGAGAAUCCCGUAUGUGACCGGCUUGCACCUUCUACGUAGCUCCUUCGACGAGUCGAGUUGUUUGGGAAUGCAGCUCUAAAUGGGAGGUAAAUGUCUUCUAAAGCUAAAUACCGGCCAGAGACCGAUAGCGCACAAGUAGAGUGAUCGAAAGAUGAAAAGCACUUUGGAAAGAGAGUUAAAAAGCACGUGAAAUUGUUGAAAGGGAAGCGCAUGCAACCAGACUUGUUGGCGGUGUUCCGCCGGUCUUCUGACCGGUCUACUCGCCGUCGACAGGCCAGCAUCGUCUGGGGGCGCCGGAGAAAGGUGCCAGGAAUGUAGCUCCUCGGAGUGUUAUAGCCUGGCACACAAUACGGUGACUCCCGGGCGAGGUCCGCGCUUCGGCUAGGAUGCUGGCGUAAUGGUUGCCUGCGACCCGUCUUGAAACACGGACCAAGGAGUCGACCAUCUGUGCGAGUGUUCGGGUGUUAAACCCCUACGCGGAAUGAAAGUGAACGGAGGUGGGAACGCAAGUGCACCAUCGACCGAUCCUGAUGUCUUCGGAUGGAUUUGAGUAAGAGCAUAGCUGGUCGGACCCGAAAGAUGGUGAACUAUGCCUGAAUAGGGUGAAGCCAGAGGAAACUCUGGUGGAGGCUCGCAGCGGUUCUGACGUGCAAAUCGAUCGUCAAAUUUGGGUAUAGGGGCGAAAGACUAAUCGAAC